UACGUAGGGGGCAAGCGUUGUCCGGAAUCAUUGGGCGUAAAGAGCGCGUAGGCGGCCCUGUAAGUCCGCUGUGAAAGUCAAGGGCUCAACCCUUGGAUGCCGGUGGAUACUGCAGGGCUAGAGUCCGGAAGAGGCGAGUGGAAUUCCUGGUGUAGCGGUGAAAUGCGCAGAUAUCAGGAGGAACACCGAUGGCGAAGGCAGGUCUCUGGGCACUUACUGACGCUGAGGAGCGAAAGCGUGGGGAGCGAACAGG
rnacentral:rRNA from 1 species